GUCAAGAUAGAAUUUCACAUUCAUCAUGUUCCUGCGUAUCGUGGUAAUACAAAUGGCAACGGUCAAUAAAAACACAAUUAGUGCCGUAUUCUACUACAUAUAAAUAAUUAACUCUAAGAAAUGUUAGUGGAAAUGAUACAUGAUGUGAUAAAGAAACAGAGAAAUAAUCAAAUUUGGUUAAAAUAUGAGACAUGGAAUUUAAAAAUCUAUAUACAUAAUUUAUGGGAAAACUAAAACUAUAGGCGGAGAUUUGUUUUUGUUAUAUACAAUUUCAAACAUUGCAAUGUUCAUUGGUAUGCAAGUAGACCUCAAUAAUUUGACAAAUAAUCGAGUGUACCAUAUCAAAAAGUGCUAGUUCACCAUAUUAUCAAAAUUUCAAAUUGAUAUAAGAUUUUUCAAUUAUUUUUCUCAAGAGUUUUAAUGAAAAAGGGACUUUUAUGGAUUUUGUUGUUCGCUUUGCUAUAAAAGAUUCGGUGCUACAAUACAUCCAAAUAGCUAUCAAUUUAUUUUAUCUUGAUAAUAAAAAC